GCUUCGUGUAAACAAAGAUGGCUUCCACGCCAAGAUUGUUGGCUGCAUAAAACGGGCAAGUUUCGAUUAUUAGUUUUGCAUAUUUCAUAACAAGUUUGCGUGUUGGUUUUGUAUGAACGUGAGUUGAAUGUAAAAUGAUUUAUGUUUAGACAUUUUAUGCAAAAGUGGGUUGAACAGUAUUCAGAAUCACUUUUAACAGGUUGCGAGAAAUAGUGUGAAGACGUACCCAUUUCGACCGCACAAUUGCAUAUUUGCUCGGUGAUGCAAUCCGGCAAUGAUGCUCCGAGUUUAUGGUGAUUGAGAAGGCUUUGUCUAUUUUCUUCUCUACUCCAUGAUUCCAUUCUACUGCUAGUCAUAUCCAACACUGCCAAAGCUUUCUGUCCAAAUGAACCGAUAGCCGACUCGCCGGAUAACAUCAAAGCAUCCGCAUACUGGCGAACGGCUUCAGAAAUAUCCGCUACCUUAUAUUGCAUGAAAGGAAAGAUUAAUGUAACAGGUAAGUACAGAGUUCAGAAUUUCUAAUGAAAAGUUAUUUUUGUAUAUAUAAAUUGAUUUUACCUCAGCACGAGUUGGUGUUGGAUACUCAACCAUUGACUCGAGAAGCUGAGAAGCUACAAUCACUGGCUUAUUUUGUUGUCUGCAAAUGCGAAUUAUAUCCUCCUGGACUGUAGGAAUCUGUUCAAGUGGUAUUUCGACUCCGAGGUCACCACGAGCUACCAUGAUUCCAUCAGAAGCUUUCACUAUUUCCUCUAGAUUAUGAAGAGAUUCUAAGCUUUCUAUCUUUGCCAAUACUUUUAUGGGCCUGAAACAAUCAUGUACCAUUGUUGGUUUGUGCUAAGAUAACUUUGAACUAAAGCACUUAUACAGAAGAAAACACUUUUCAACGGAACAACAUUUUUUGGCGAAUCUAUGAUUUCUUACUUGGCAGAUUUGUCAGAGAUGUAGUUCUUUAGAUCCUUAACAGAAUCAGCAUGAUUGACAAAGGAUAAGGCAAAAAAAUCAACUCCCUCAGCUAUACCAAAGUUAAUGUCAGCCCAAUCCUGUGGAUAAGUUUACAAGAUAAAACAUAUCAGGGAAAGAUUUUUGAAACUCAUAGCCACUAUUCAAAGAAUUAUACCAAAAUAUAUAAGUGCGGGAAAAAAGACGCUUCGCGGCAAAAUAUACCUUUGUUGAUAGAGUAGGGAGCUUGUAAUUCCUCCUUACAAGCUUUCCAUCUCUCCAGGAACUAAAUUUGGCUCCAGGUAAGAAAAGACCGGCAUCUAUGCACUUACAAUGCAAAUCAUUUCCAGUUUUUUCAACGACUACAAAGCAUGACAUUCCGCCGUCAAUGACAAGUUCAUCGCCAACUUCAAUACCUGACAACCAUUAGCAUAUUCAAAAUUCGCUCAAACGCAUAAUAACAUGUAGUCUGCUCAUUGGAAAAUACAAGGAACGGGUCAAUUCUUCAAUCAUUCGGCAAAAUAUUACUACCUUCAGAAAAACCUGGAUAGCUUGCUUGAACUGUUAAUGGACGAGUACCUUCAAACCGUUCAGCAGUGAACAACCAAAUUGAAUCUUCCUGAGAUUGAAACAAGAAACACAUAGUUCCAAAUUCAAAUACAAACAAUCUCUAUGAUGCACUGGCACAGACACGGACAUCAGUCACAAGUGACACGUCUACAUGAGUAAUAAUUUUAAAAAGAUUGAAGAGAAUAUAACCACAAGUAUUGACACGACACUAGACACGAUGCGACAUGGAACAAGCCUAUCAUAGCAAUUGGUAAAAAAACAGAUGGAACCGCAUCAUACUGCAAUUGCGGUGUGAUUUAAAAUCACGCGUCCGGCCACAUUAGGAACCACAUUAGACAAAUUCGUCCAUGUUUCUUAAGUAUUUUCAUCAAAACUCAAAAUUGUAUUUUCCAAACACCACUCAAUCAAAAUUCACGCUACAGCAGUCGCAAUGCGUAUCACUUCAGCUUACAACCGCAAUUUAAAACCAUGGAUGCAAGAAUAAAUGAAGUUACCUCAACUUUAACGGAGGAAGGUGCUCCAUGAUCAACAACAUGAAUCUGACUACCCUCAGUAUCAAUCAUAACCGAAACCGCAAACCCCUUUUCCUCAUUCAGCUUCUUAAUCUUCCUAAUCACAUCCCGAUGCCAUUCUCUAGUCCCAUGACACAUAUUAAGCCUUGCAACAUUCAUUCCACCCAAUGCCAUCUUCUCUAAAUCCUCCAACGAACUACAAGCAGGACCAACCGUACACACAAGCUUUGUCUUCCUCAGCCCUUUAAAACCCUUCACCAUUAACUCUCCUUCUGAAACCAUAUCCAACCCCAAACUUCCCUCCAAUGCAACACUACUUGUUCUUUUCAAACCCUCUACAUCCACUUCCGCUAUUGCUCUAACCUUAACACUAUGUUUUCUCUUCCAUUUCUCACCUCCCUUGAAACAAAAUCCAAGAUUUGAAACCCUGUUACUCAAAUCAACUGAAUGGUGACUAGAUUGUCUCACGAGGGUUAUAUUUCCAGGUGAAGCAGCCAUUGACUUCAAAACCAUGGCCAUGAGAUUUUUGAUGGAACAAUGAAGUUGUGCCGAAUGUUGAGAUCCAAGUUGUGAACUUUAUCGCAAUAUAGGUGUUGGGUUUUGAAGGGUUUUGUUGUAAACUCCGUCAGAGUUUGGACUUUGGUCGUGAACAAAAUCAGAAACGUUGUAAAAAAAAAAAGGUUGUCUCUUUUGUGUCAAAAAAUGUAAAUUUUUGUCGUUAUUUCUUUUGUCCUUGAGUAACAGAACGUGGCAAUCUUUCGUGCGUUAAAUCAAUCUAAUGGUUAAAAUGGCUUGAAUGCACUACAAUGAGUGUGGCAUGGCAUUUGAAUGAAAGCAUUGAAUCUGAAAAUUACAAUGCACUGAUGGAGAACGAACAUGAAUAGCAAAAACCCACCUUUUUUUUUUUUUGAUGACAUACUUCUUUGUCUUCACUGCUCCAAAGAAAAGAUAGAGAGAAGGUUUGCAAGUUUGAAAGAAGAUGAUUUAAUUUGGAAAUUUUUAUAACUUUCUCCCAAUUAUAUUUAACUUAAAUGUAUUUUUGGUCCUUUUUAUUUUUAAAUUUUUGAAGUUUUAGUCCUUUUAUUCUUAAAUGUAUUUUUGGUCCUUUUUAUUUUUAAAUUUUUGAAGUUUUAGUCCUUUUAUUCUUAAAUGUAUUUUUGUCCUUUAUCUCACUUGGGAUUUUUCUGAUCCGCUCUAUUGACUGUUUCAUUAAUGACGUGGCAAGUAAGUAGUGUCCGAGGUGUUUAAUUUUUAUUUUUAUGAUUUAAUUUUAAAUAUUAAAAAUCGUUUUUUAUUUUUAAAAAAAUUUUUUAAUAAUGUGUAAUUAAGUUAAAUAGGCAACUAGAAUGGUUAUAACCUUAAUCCUCAUUCGUCUCAAUCACACCAUUGCAAGCUUCUUCUUUCAAAUGAAGAACAUCGCAAUUAGGCACGAAGACGAUCCGCUGUGAGAAAUAGAGAACCAGAUUGUUCAACUGAAGGGCUUGGAACGAAAUUGAAGAUGAGUAAUGGACAAGUGAAGUUUUGCUUAAGCAAGGCAACAUUCGAGAAGAUAUACGUUAAUAUUGUGUUUCCCACAAAUGGAUCACAACUAUGGCCUAUUAUUGAUCAUGUGCUAAUUUAAAGAGAAAUUGGACGUUCAAAGAAGAUGAGAAACAAGGAAGCUGAUGAUCCAAAGAACUCAUAUGUACUAUGAAAGAAAUUUGCAACAGUAACUUGUAAGAAAUGUGGUCAAAUUGGACACAACAAAAGAACUUAUAAGGGUAAGAGAGCAACUAAUAGGGAAAUAUAAAAGGGAGACAACAAGGCUAAGAAAGCAAAGACUACAAAGUCUACAAAUAAGGCAAAGGAAACUCAAGCUGAAAUUGGACAGGGGUCUCUAGCACCUCAAGUUACCCAAGAUUAAAUGCAAUUAGGAAUCACUAUGUCUUUUUUUUAAUGUAACAUAUUCUAUUAGGAACCACUAUGUUUUGAUU